GUCUAGUUGCCUUCUCAUGUGGUCUUUGAAACGUUUGAUAGCAAAAAAAAAUAUGUCCUUUAAUGACCUGGUUAUCUACUAGGGAUCAGAAAGAUGCACAGGUACAUCUCCUUUGACAGAACACAACCCUGAAAUCAUAAUCCUAACUUUUUUUUUUUUUUUAGGGCCACACGCAUGGCAUAGGGAGGUUCCCAGGCUAAGGGCCGAAUUGGAGCUGUAGCCGCCAGCCUACGCCACAGCCACAGCAAUGUGGGAUACGAGCCACGUCUGUGACCUACCACAGCUGGUGGCAACGCCGGAUCCUUAACUCACUGAGCAAGGUCAGGAAUCCUUAUGGGUGCUAACCAGAUUUGUUUCCACUGAGCCACGAUGGGAAUACCUCAUAAACCUAACUUUUGAGUGCAUGGGGAAAAAUUGAUACACUGACAUGACACUCUUAACACUGAAAGCAUUAUGCCAGCAGAUAUCCGACAGGGCUUCCGAGGGUGAGCUCUUCGGACUGGCAACAAAAUAAGCCAGGGUAAUCCUACGAAUCCAGAUUCCUGGGCCAUGCUCCCAGAUCCACUAAAAUCUAAAAAUCUACGAAUGGGAGGCCCCUGAAUCUGUAUUUUAACAAGUGCUCCAGGUGAUUCUAACCCCUUGUCCCGAAGUGUUUGUUGGCAGUGGAGAGCAGAAGUGGGCAAACAAUGUUGAAGGUGAUUUAGGAAUAAGGCCAUUUAUUUGUCCAGGAGCUUUAAACUCAUCCUAUACCCGCCAUGUUCUUCCUGAAAGUUGGCCGUUGCCCUGGAAUGCAAGUUUACAGGUUCUCUGCAGUCUGGGAUUCUGAGGGCCAAGUUACUGCGUCAUCUGUUGAGAUCCGAAGGAGCCUUCUAGAGGUGGGAUGAGGCUCUGGAUGUGAAAAAAAGAGGAGCAGAGUCAGAACUGAGGACGCUGAAGAAAACCAUUUGAAGACUUGAGAGAGAACGUUUGGGUAUGCUCCCCAGCAGCAGGCAUCAAACUGCCUUAUACCUAUGCUUGGGUUAUAGGAAGGUGUUGCAGUGGGUAUGAGGCAGGGUGGUUUUAUGGAAACCAGACUUGCAGAUCUUCAUCUACACAAUUGGUCUCCCUGAGAUGGAGUCAGUCUUCUGCGGCUUUACCUUGCCCUCCUUUUCCCAGACCCCUUUUCUUCUUACUUUAGAAAAGAAAGGCAGAGCUCUCAUCAUCUGGAACAGCUGGUUAGGCAUCCAGUGACCCAAGAGCUGAGAGCUAGCUGGGCAGUGUUAGAGAAGGAAGAAUAAUUGGAAGAGAAGAAAUCUGUGCUUUAGCCACAUGUCACGAUGCACUGCAACAGCCUCCCAAACUUACCUUGUCUCGAAGACCCCUGAUAAACAUGCCUCCCGCACUUACUCUGGCCAAAUGAGCCAAGUUGUCUGAGGAUCAAAUAAAAGCAAAGAACAAGGGAUCAGAACUUUGAAAUGCGUUCCCUUUAGACCGCAGCUGUGACCCUGCCUCCCGGCACUCUGCUUGUCUCCUUAGCAGGAGCAGGGGCUGCUCCCCUCCUUCAAUACAGUACCUACAGUAUGGGGCUGGAAAAGUCAUCAAAGCAUUAAAGGUAUUAGGGGUGUUUACUCCACAUUCCUAUUCAGCUGCUGCCCAAUUAACAUGAUUUGCAGCUGAGAAAAUAAUACUCUCCUCCGUCAGAGAUAAAUUGGGUCCCCAAACGUGAAACAAAGGGGAGAGAGCCGCUGAUGUUUAUAGAAGUUAUUGCAAACAAAUGCACUUCAAAAGGAGUUGUGGUGACAGAUUCUGUUUCACAGGGUCCUCCCAAUUCUUCUCGGCCUCCUGAGACCCUUCCUCAGGCUCUGCUAGGUGUUUUCGCCACUCGACCGCUGCUUUAAGAUCUACUGCCCUGUGUAAAUUAGCCUGGUCUGCAGUCUAGACCUGCCCUGCCCAAGACGGUAGCCACUGAGCACUUGCGAGGCGGCUAAUUCUGAUGCAGGUGUGUUGUAAAUAUGUAAUACACGCCAAAUUUCAGAGACGUAGUUCCCUCGUCUAAUUACUAAAUUAUCCUUAUAAUUUUUAUAUUGAUAACAAUAAUAUUUGGGAUAUACCGGGUUAAAACAUUUUUAAAAUUCGUUUCGCCUGUUUCUAGUUAUUUGUUUGUUUGUUUAUUUAUUUAGCGUGGCUAUGAGGAAAUUUAAAACAGCAUGUGUGCCUCUCAUUGUGACAUGCAUUCUAUUUCCACUGGAGAGCCUGUUUGUCUAGACUGUGGGUUCAGCAGCCCUGGGCGAAGGCUGAUGGGAAUGGGAAAGUCCAGUUUGGAAUGGUAAGUGGCACUGGGGAGAUUUUGGGCUGGCAGUGACCCCUCUUGCCGAAAAGAGGUAUAUUUGUGACAGUUGCAGCAUGUGGAGCCCAGGCUAACAGAUUGUAAACCUGCCUUCCUUCUGGUUCUAAUACUUACUUAACCUCAAAGGAACUUUAAAUUUAAACCAAAUGGCAUGUGAGAUUUCAGUAGGCUGAUGUAUUGCUCUCCAUUCAGCCAUUUGAGAAAUCCUACUGAGGUCCCCAUGCAGCUGAGUUCCAGUCGCCGCCAUAUCCCAAUGGAAGUCUGGCACAGCACUAAUGAGCUGAUGAGAUUUUUUUUCUCACUUGUUUGAUAUUAAAUAGGAGAACCUUUGGAAUUGAACGUUUACAGAUAGUGUGAAAAUUGGAAAUGUGGGUUUUAGCCGAGCCAACUCCAACAGAUCCAAAGACUGCAGUUGCCUGAUGGUAAGAGAACAGUGCUUCUGGCUCCCACGGUGAGUUCCACCACCAGCUUGGCUGCGUGGAAGCUGCUUGCCAGCUUCCUCCUUUCUGGUGGUGAAUUUCUCAGACACUGGGCCUACAGGGUUCAUUCUCCUGUGGGUACAGCUCUGUCCUAACCACCAUUCUUUAAGAUAACAAUUUAAAGCUUUUGGAUUAUGAGGCUGAGUCCAUUUUGUUUUGUUCCGAAGUUGUGCCCAGACCUUGGCAGGGGUCCCUCAAAUAACAAUAACAACGACAAUAAUAAUAUCAGCAAAUAUUUCUUGAGCACUUACUAGGUGCUCUAAAUAUGUUAGGUCACUUAAUCUUUAGCUCUAUGGGACAUAAAGGGUUUUUUGUUUUGUUUCGUUUUGUUCUGGAGUUUUUUGUUUUUUACGUCACCCAAGGUUACAUAGCAAGUGGUCAACCCCGUCUCUCUGACCAGAGCCCACACACGGAACUAUUCCAUUAUUCUUGUGGAGAAUGAAUAUUAAAAUCUCAACAGCAUCCAUCAGAAAUAGCAAAAUGAUGAAUCAGAACUUCUCCAGUCAUUCUGGGGCAUGUGUGUGAACCCGUGACUCCAAGGUAAAUGCUCUCUAUUACAAUGAUUUUUUUUUUUUUUUUUGACAAAAAGAUCUCUACUAAGAACUUAGUUCACACAGAGCCCUCUGAGAAUAACUUCCAGAUUUGACUUUAGUAAAAUCUUCCAAAAUUGGGGAUAAUGUGAUAUAGACAAACUUUCACUGUGAAAGUCUUCCUUUAAGUAAAAUCCUAUCUUUAGAUUAAAUGCAAAAUAGCUCUACAAAGGGAAACGGCUCAGACCUCCACAAGCCUAUCCAUCUGUGUUGCAGGAUAUGGCCUGAGGGCACCCACACAGCCAGUGAGGCCCAGAGCAAUGCCGAACUGCCGGUGAACCCGGGUUAGCAAAUCUGGAUUUGAAUUCUAGCUUUGUCAUUUCUCGUCCUGUAAGCCUUGCUGGGCCUUCAUGAAACUUGCUACCAUCAGGUAGCUAGGCUUCCCCACGGUUCCCUGGGAAAAGAAAGUGGAUCCUAUUGAGCUUUCCCAAAAAGACUCUUCUUUCCGUGGGUGCAGAAGGGAAGGUCUGGCCUUCCCAGGCUUCUCACCACUCCUCCCUUUCUUGAACUGGGGUGAACAGCCAGUCUCUAAAUCGAGCUUUCACCUCUGCAAGUGGCCUCAGCAAUUCCCCGUGGGGAUGAGGUAGGCCAUGGCAAAAGUUCUCCAGAUGACUCUUUCCUGAAGGGAGACGCAGAGCAGCAGGAAGAGAGUGGGGAAAUCAGAGGUUGAGCAAGGAUCUUGGAGAUUUAAGAGGGACCUGUACAAGGGCCAAAGGCACCAUGGAGCUACACACACUCCAGAGCUUUUGCAGCAAAGCAGAGGAAUUUCUUUUGCCUCCCUUCUCCAGCCACAUGCUUCCGCUUCUCGCCUCAAACUCUCGUGAAGCUAUACUAGGAAAGGGAUGCUCUGAACUUUGGGGCUCCGUGAGAAGAGAUACUUUUUUAAAAAAGCAGUAUUUCAAUAGAAAGCACAUGCACAUGGAUGGUGAGUGAGAACAUUUGAGAAGGCUUUUUUUUUUUUUUUUCUCCAGAGAAUCUUCUCUUUAGCGGAGGAACUUUAGAAGAGGACGAUUCAAGGGAUCACAGGGUUCUCUUCCUACCUCUGUGGUCCAGGCUGUCACACCUUGUGCCGAAGCAGAACAAGAAGGAUUGGCUAGGCGGUGCCUUCUAUGUGGCACUGUGCUCAAGGCUGGCAAGGCUACAAUGUCAGGCAAAUAAAAUCUUAAGACGUGGCUCCUGAUUUGAGAGGCUUGUUGGGAAUUUCAACACAGAAGACUGAAACCCUCCAGGGCAGUCAGAAAUGCUACCGAUCAAUCUCUAGGGUGGCUGUGCUGUCAUUCAGACAGUGCACAUGCUCCAGUCUCCAGAAGGUUCCCAGUCUCUGUGGUGAAGACGUAGAGGCUUGUGGGGUAUGUGGGUGAGGGGUACCAAAAGCAUCUGUCCUCUUGGGGUGCACAUACUGGACCCUUCAAGGAUCCCACUAGUUUCUCCUGGACUCAUCAACCUUUAUAUGGAUCUUGUUAACCCUCAUGGGCCUGUUGUCUUACGUUUCAAAGAAUUGACUGUAUUGUGUAUCUGUCCGGACAUGUUUUCAUUAACUUACCUAAACCUUGAAGCUUUAACUUUCAAAUUACUUAUUAGGCUUGAUGCAAAGAAGGGAGAAGAAAAUGGUGUCAGUACACUGUGCUGAAAGCAUUCACCAACACAUGUCAACUCUGCAGUGCACUUAACUUUUCCAGAUGUGGCUGGAUAGGCUGCCCGGUCAGUGACAUUGCAGAUGAAUGGCCACAGCCCGCUGUAGGCGGAUGAACAUGGGUACCUUUGAUGUGAUGGGGAGACUCCUCUCAUCUAUUAGCCAGAAGGAAAAGCCAUUUUCUUUCUGUUGAGUCCUCAGCUUCUUCCCACCUCAAGGAGACCGUGUAAUUAGCAUACAUCAACACUCAGUACUGGGCCCCGGGGCUCUCAUUCCAAACCCAUUUGCAUGUAGCCAGUAGCCACAAUGGAGUCAAAAUAAAACUUAUGCCAAGGACAUCUGUAGACUGUUCCUUUUUUUUGUUUGUUUUUGCUUUUUAGGGCCAUACCUGUGGCAUAUGGAAUGUCCCAAGCUAGGGGUCGAAUCAGAGCUGCAGCUGCUAGCCUACACCACAGCCACAACAACACAGGAUCAAAGCCAUGUCUGUGACCUACACCACAGCUCACGGCAAUGCUGGAUCCUUAACCCACUGAGUGGAGCCAGGGAUCAAACCUGUAUCCUCAUGGAUACUAGUCAGGUUCAUAACCUGCUGAACCACAAUGAGGACUCCCAAUAGGCUGUUCUUUUACUAGGCAUGGUGUUCAUAUAGACAGGAAAAUGGUUGCAGUUAGCCUGUUCAAUCAAACUUUCAUCCCAAGCACACAAAGCAAGCACUCAGGUCCCUUACUGUCAGAUAUAGUUCAUCUUCUCCCAUCCUGCCUAGAGAAAGUUUCAAGUGUGUAAUAGCUCUUGUCCUCCAGGGAGGAAAAUAAUAAUUGGAUAUACAAAGACGAGAAAGAGCUGUUUAGAUUUCUAUCUCCCUGGCAGAUAGAAGUAGUCAAAGAAUUUUCUGGUUUUCUUCUGCAGCAGGAUGGACCGGACUUUGGCAUCAUAGUAGCACUGGUUUAAAAUGCUUUAUUUCUAUGGGGGGAGAGAGGGAUGGGCCAGGACUUUGGGAUGGGGAAAAAAGAAAAAA
rnacentral:lncRNA from 1 species